rfam:Phycisphaerae bacterium SM23_30 WORSMTZ_15614, whole genome shotgun sequence.
GGAGAGGUGGCCGAGCGGCUUAAGGCAACGGUUUGCUAAACCGUCGUAGGGGUAUAAGCCCCUACCGCGGGUUCGAAUCCCGCCCUCUCCG